rnacentral:rRNA from 1 species
GGGGAAUAUUGGGCAAUGGGCGCAAGCCUGACCCAGCGACGCCGCGUGGGUGAUGAAGGCCUUCGGGUUGUAAAGCCCUGUCAUGUGGAAAGAACAGUCCCGUGGUGAAUAUCCACGGGAUUUGACGGUACCACAGGAGGAAGCACCGGCUAACUCCGUGCCAGCAGCCGCGGUAAUACGGAGGGUGCAAGCGUUGUUCGGAAUUAUUGGGCGUAAAGGGCGCGUAGGCGGUUGUGAAAGUCAGAUGUGAAAUACUUCGGCUCAACUGAAGAACUGCAUCUGAAACUUCAUAACUCGAGUACAGGAGAGGGAAACGGAAUUCCCGGUGUAGAGGUGAAAUUCGUAGAUAUCGGGAGGAACACCAGUGGCGAAGGCGGUUUCCUGGCCUGAUACUGACGCUGAGGCGCGAAAGCGUGGGGAGCAAACA